rnacentral:lncRNA from 10 species
ACAAGCAUGAGCCACCUCAUUUGGCCUAUUUUCAGUUUUUUAAGGAACCUCCAUAGUGUUUUCCACAAUGGCUGUACUAAUUUCAGGUUUUUGUUUGCCCCCAAUUUUAAAACUAUUCACCUAAGUGCCUCUAAUCCCAGCACUUUGGGAGGCCGAGGCCGGUGAGGUCAGGAGCUUGAGACCAGCCUGGCCAACAUGGUGAAACCCCAUCUCUUCUAAAGAUAGAAAAAAUUAGCCAGGCAUGGCUGGCCACGGUGGCUCACACCUAUAAUCCCAACACUUUGGGAGGCCGAGGCAGGCGGAUCACCUGAGGUCAGGAGUUCGAGAUCAGCCUGGCCAAUGUGGUGAAACCCCAUCUCUACUAAAAAUAAAAAAUUGGCUGAGCAUGGUAGCAGGCGCCUGUAAUCCCAGCUACUCAGGAGGCUGAGGCAGGAGAAUUGCUUGAACCCAGGAGACGGAAGUCGCAGUGAGCCAAGACUGUGCCACUACACUCCAGCCGGGGUCACAGAGCGAGACUCUGUCGCAAAAAAAAAAAAAAAAAGCCAGGCAUGGUGGCAUGUGCCUGUAGUCCCAGGUACUUGGGAGGCUGAGGCACGAGAAUUGCUUGAACCCGGGAGGCAGAGGUUGCAGUGAGCCAAGAUCACAACACUGCACUCCAGCCUGGGUGACAAGAGUGAGACUC